rnacentral:rRNA from 1 species
UGGAUGAUGUGGUUAAUCGAUGCAACGCGAAAACCUUACCACCUUUGACAUGUACGGAAGCCUUUAGAGAUAGAGGCGUGCUCGAAAGAGAGCCGUAACACAGGUGCUGCAUGGCUGUCGUCAGCUCGUGUCGUGAGAUGUUGGGUUAAGUCCCGCAACGAGCGCAACCCUUGUCAUUAGUUGCUACAUUCAGUUGGGCACUCUAAUGAGACUGCCGGUGACAAGCCGGAGGAAGGUGGGGAUGACGUCAAGUCCUCAUGGCCCUUAUAGGUGGGGCUACACACGUCAUACAAUGGCUGGUACAAAGGGUUGCCAACCCGCGAGGGGGAGCUAAUCCCAUAAAGCCAGUCGUAGUCCGGAUCGUAGUCUGCAACUCGACUACGUGAAGUCGGAAUCGCUAGUAAUCGUGGAUCAGAAUGUCACGGUGAAUACGCUCCCGGGUCUU